CUGUGUGUGUGUGCGUGUGUGUGUGUGUGUGUGUGUGUGUGUGUCCAGUCUGGCGAUCACCCGUUAGCAUAGCAUCAGGAAUGCCCACUCUCUG
rnacentral:miRNA from 1 species